GAAGGUCACGGCGAGACGAGCCGUUUAUCAUUACGAUAGGUGUCAAGUGGAAGUGCAGUGAUGUAUGCAGCUGAGGCAUCCUAACAGACAUGCAGCUGAGGCAUCCUAACAGACCAAUAGACUUGAAC
rnacentral:rRNA from 1 species